UACAAUAAUUUAAUGCAAAUGCAAUCAUGAUACCAAUGUUUUAAAACCCGGCAAAAUGAAUAUGAAGUUUAUAUGGAGGGAUAAGUAUCUGAGAAUAGGCAAUAAAUUUAAAGGAAGAUGUGUGUACGUGGGCAUGAGCAGGUGUGCAUGCAUACAUGAGCAGAGCAUGGAAAUCAUCCUGCCUUGCUAAACAUUAAAAUUUAUUACAAAGCUAUUGUGAUGAUAAAAUGGCAUUCCUGUCCAUGAGUCUGAAACAUUUUAUAUUUUAAUGUCUAUAGGGCAAAACUGAAAGAAUUUAAGAAUCCUAUGUUCAUAGUCAACAUGCUAAUAUAAUUAUUUUAACAUUCUUACUUUAAUAGAGAAUACUAUGUCGAUAUAUCACAGUAAACGUCUCACUACAGCAACAAAAUAAAACAGAGACAAGAGGAACAAAUCCAAAGACAGGUAGUAGCUUAGUAUUAACCAAGUCGACAUUUCAAUCCAGGGUAAUAAUGUAUGACUAUUUGAACAAACAGCAUUGGCAUAAUUUACUUCCUACCUGAAAUACACCCCCAAACAAUAAAGUUCCAUAUUUAUUUUUUUUGAGAAAGAUAUAAUAAAUCACAUUGAAAAGCAAACGGUAGAUUGGAGCAAAAUGACUGCAUUUUAAGUGAUGGGGCAAGUGUCAUUUCCUCUAAUAUAUAAAUUCUUUCCAUUAAUUCAUAAGAAAGACAAAUAACCCAGCAAAAGAAUGGGCAAAGAUAUGAACAGGGUAGUCACAGGUAAAAUUCAAUCAUCAACCAACACUUGAAAAUAUGCAUAAACCUAUUAGUUAGUAUGGAAAUGCAAGUUCAACAGGACAAUUUUUCAACUUCCUAUUAUCAAUUAUUAAGAGCAACAGAAUCUGAUGUUAUUGAGUAUAGAAGUGAUACUGGCAACUUCAUAUAAAGCUGAUGAGAAUGUCAGUUGUGACAACCUUUUAUGAAAUUAUCUGGAAAUAUCUACUGAAAUCUGAAAUAUCCAUAAGCUUGAAGGAUUCCACCUAGAAGAAUGUAGCCCACAGAAAUAAAAAGCAGCAUAUAAGAAUAUAUGUUUAAGAAUCUUUAUUAUGGAUUAUUUAUGAUGUAAAAAAAUCCACCGCUAAACACCCUGAAUGUACAUGGUAAGGAACAGUUGAAUAAAUUGCUACACCCAUACCAUGGACUAAUCUGCAGCUAUUAGAAAGGAUAUUAGGUGGACAUUAUUGAUUUGGAGAUAUGAUGUAUUACUAAGGGAAAAAAGGCUGUAGAACCAUGUAUGUGGUAUAAUGCUAUUUUUUUAAAAAAAGAUUAUGUCCAUUUAGGAGAGAGUGAGAGAGAGACAGAGGGCAUGAGUGAGGGGAGGAGCAGAGGGAAAGGGAGAAGCUGACUCCCCGCCAGGCAGAGAGGCCCAACAUGGGAACUGACCCCAGGAUCAAUCCCAGGACGGAGGCUGGGAUCACGACCUGAGCUGAAGGCAAACAGUUAACCGACUGAGCCAUCCAGGUGCGCCUGGUGUAAUGCUAUUUUUAAACAACAAAAAAGCCCCAACUCUCCCUGUGUGUGCGUGCGUGUACACAUAUGUAUAUAUAAAAAUAUGAGUAUAAAGAUACAGAAGGUUGUACAGCAAACUGUGACGUUUAUCUUGGGGCAGCAGGAGUAGAGGGCAGAUGGUUAAAUUUCUUAGGUGUUUCUGUAUUGUUUGAUUUGUUAAAUCACGUCACUUUUGUUAUUUAAAAAAUCGAACAGGGGCGCCUGCGUGGCUCAGUCAGUUAAGUGUCCAACUCUCGGUUUUGGCUCAGGUCAUGAUCUCAGGGUUGUGAGAAAGAGCCCCAUGAUGGGCAUGGAGCCUGCUUAAAAUUCUCUACCUCUCCCUCUGCCCCUCCCCCGCUCUAAAAAACAUCUAAUAAUGUGCAAGCAAAACACCAAUAGGGAAAAUGUUCCAAAUAUUAGCACCAAAUCAUUUUACCCAGACAGUUCUGGGAGAACCACCUCUGAAAACCAAAAUACCAAUAGCAUUAGUGACUGAGUCCCUGAGAAUAAGAUCGCAGAGACUCUAGGUAUUCCCAAACUGUCUUCAAACAAACUAAGAAGACUCGGAGGAGGGACUCUUACAUUUUUUAGUAAAUUCCAUUGCGGCAUAAGUAUAAGUAUCUAAAUUUCCUAUGAAAUUAUGAAUGCCUAUGAAUUAGAAAGAUUUAUGGUGAGUGUCUCUUUGAAACAACGAAGCAGCUUUAGGCAAGUAAGAUAGAGACGUUAGGAAGCUGCUCCUACAUCCUAACAAAAACUUUCUCUAAAACAUUCAAAGAAUAAGCACUACAAUUAUUUGGAAAGAACUUAAAAUUUCCACUUACAAAUAAUAAAACUAAUGUACGGUGAAAAAUUGCAUUAUGGGGAUCCCUGGGUGGCGCAGCGCACUUCUAGAUUCCAACACUAAUUGCCGUAUCAUUUAAAAAUCGUUAGCCACGACUUUAAAAUAGACAUAAAUUCACAUAAUUUAAAGGCAAACCCCGCCCCCCCCAAAUGAGGUUGAGCGUCUGUCUUCGGCUCAGGUCAUGACCCUGGGGUCCUGGGAUCGAGUCUCACAUCAGGCUCCCCGCAGAGAGCCUGCUUCUCCCUCUGCCUAUGUCUCUCUCUCUCUGUCUCUCUCAUUAAUAAAUAAAUAAAAUCUUUAAAAUAAAAAUAAAAAGCCAUAUCCAAUAUAUAAUGCUUAAUGUGUACUUUCCUUUGGACGGUGAUUACUAUAUAUUUUGGGGCUCUCAAGUAUAUGCUACUCUGCUGUUACCACCAAUAAACUCCCAUAUUGCUGCACCCCAGUUCUCUGCUACUGGAAAGGACGCCGUUGGCCUUAUCACCUGUGAUCACAGCAGUGGUCUUUCAGUCUAUGGAGCCCACCCUCCUUUUUACCCAUCACAGCUCAGUCUUCAAAGUCCCCCACAAAGGACGAGGUGCCAUCAUUAUCUGCACCAUGGCCCCAGCUCUCCCCUGCCCCCUGGGUACCAAUGUCAUCUGAAAUGGCAUUACAUCGUCGGAGUCCCAUGUUGCAUUUCUUCAAUGCGUUGAGCUCCAGAUGCAGCUCAGGGGCAGGGGGCAGGUUUGAUAAAGCCCCACUUGAGCUCCCUUUCAGUCCUAUUUUACUGCCUUGCGAGGAUCUUGACUCCAAGGGUCAUAGCUCAGGUCCAGCUUCUCGUAUCAUCAUGGUAUCUUACCUCACCGAGGUUUUCUUCUCAUGAAGACGGUUUCCUUGGCUAAUUGUAUCUGGCAUGAAUCUGGGUCUAAUACCUUCCAACAGGCUUCCAGGUCCUUUUACUAACCUUGCUUAAAUUUCAAGUAUACCUUGAGUAUGUAGAGCUAUUUCAGAGAGAAUUCAAAGGCAGAUGCGGCUUUAAUAUCUGAAUACAGGACAGAGGUUUUUGUAAAAUUGUCACUUGCUUUUCUUCUUUUUUUAAAAACCUUUUAUCUCCUAUUAAAAAAAAUAUUUGAAAAAAAAAUAUUUGUCCGAGCACAGGCUGAACUCAUCUGAAUUCAUCAUUCAAGUCUUCCCAUUCUUAUCAACUGUAACACAGGUCUUCUAUUUUACCAAGAAUUUCCUGUUCUUUCUUUGAAUAGCACAAGCAGAAUACCAAUACUCAACCCAUAAAGUGCAGAAAGAGAAAUCUUCUUAAAGAUUAAUCGGCUCAGGGCAGCCCCGGUGGUGCAGCAGUUUAGCGCCGCCUGCAGCCUGGGGUGUGAUCCUGGAGACCCAGGAUCGAGUCCCACGUUGGGCUCCCUGCAUGGAGCCUGC
rnacentral:lncRNA from 1 species